ACAACAGGUUGAUAUUCCUGUACCGCCAAUAAGCGUUUGAGAGAUGGAGUGACACAGUAGGAUAAGCUAACCGUACUGUUGGUUAUGUACGGCUAAGCAUUGAGGCAGUCUAAAAAGGCAAAUCCGUUUAGACAAUGCUAGGAUGUGGUGGGGAAGCCCUUCGGGGCGAAGUAGCUGAUUUCACACUGUCAAGAAAAGCUUCUAUCGAGUUUAAAGGCGCCCGUACCGUAAACCGACACAGGUGGGUGAGGAGAGUAUCCUAAGGCCAGCGAGAGAACUAUUGUUAAGGAACUCGGCAAAAUGACCCCGUAACUUAGGGAGAAGGGGUGCCUGUCUAUGACAGGCCGCAGAGAAUAGGCCCAAGCGACUGUUUACCAAAAACACAGGUUUCUGCUAAGUCGCAAGACGAUGUAUAGGAGCUGACGCCUGCCCGGUGCUGGAAGGUUAAGGGGAUCUGUUAGAGCAAUCGAAGCAGUGAACUUAAGCCCCAGUAAACGGCGGCCGUAACGAUAACGGUCCUAAGGUAGCGAAAUUCCUUGUCGGGUAAGUUCCGACCCGCACGAAAGGCGUAACGAUUUGGGCACUGUCUCAACAAUAGACUCGGUGAAAUUGUAAUCCCGGUGAAGAUGCCGGGUACCUGCGACAGGACGGAAAGACCCCAUGGAGCUUUACUGUAGCUUGACGUUGGGUCUUGGUACUACAUGUACAGGAUAGGUGGGAGACUAUGAAGCAUGGACGCCAGUCUGUGUGGAGUCAUCCUUGGGAUACCACCCUUGUAGUACUGGGAUCCUAACCAUAGGCCUUGAAUCAGGUCUUGGAACACCGUCAGGUGGGCAGUUUGACUGGGGCGGUCGCCUCCUAAAAAGUAACGGAGGCGCUCAAAGGUUUCCUCAGCACGGUCGGAAAUCGUGCGAAGAGUGUAAAGGCAAAAGGAAGCUUGAUUGCAAGACAUACAGGUCGAGCAAGGACGAAAGUCGGACUUAGUGAUCCGGUGGUACCGCAUGGAAGGGCCAUCGCUCAACGGAUAAAAGCUACCCUGGGGAUAACAGGCUUAUCUCCCCCAAGAGUCCACAUCGACGGGGAGGUUUGGCACCUCGAUGUCGGCUCAUCACAUCCUGGGGCUGUAGUAGGUCCCAAGGGUUGGGCUGUUCGCCCAUUAAAGUGGUACGCGAGCUGGGUUCAGAACGUCGUGAGACAGUUCGGUCCCUAUCCGUCGCAGGCGUAGGAAAUUUGAGAAGACCUGUCCUUAGUACGAGAGGACCGGGAUGGACGUACCUCUGGUGUACCAGUUGUUCUGCCAAGGGCAUGGCUGGGUAGCUAUGUACGGAAUGGAUAAGCGCUGAAAGCAUCUAAGCGCGAAGCCAACUUCAAGAUAAGAUUUCCCACCGUAAGGGUAAGACCCCAGGAAGAUUACCUGGUUGAUAGGUCGAAGGUGUAAGUGCAGUAAUGUAUUUAGCUUAUCGAUACUAAUAGGUCGAGGACUUGAUC
rnacentral:rRNA from 1 species